rnacentral:rRNA from 1 species
UACGGGGGGGGCAAGCGUUGUUCGGAAUUACUGGGCGUAAAGGGCUUGUAGGUGGCCAACUAAGUCAGACGUGAAAUCCCUCGGCUUAACCGGGGAACUGCGUCUGAUACUGGAUGGCUUGAGUUUGGGAGAGGGAUGCGGAAUUCCAGGUGUAGCGGUGAAAUGCGUAGAUAUCUGGAGGAACACCGGUGGCGAAGGCGGGUCUCUAGGCCGGACACUGACGCUGAGGAGCGAAAGCGUGGGGAGCGAACAGG